UGUUGUCUCCUACCUCAGGCCGCUGGACUUUUCUAGUUGCGGCAAGGCUGAGUUCGUCCGGAAGUGAAUCCAACAAGAAGACCACAUUGACCAGUGGGCAUGAAGUUCCUGAUACAGCUAAUUCAAAGAUCCAUGGUGCUUGAGGAGGUCACCGAUUGCGGGGACGGAGCAGCAUCAGAAACCCGCGGAUAGCUUUGACGAGCAUAUUUGCGUGCGGGAGGUGGAGGUGGGAGAUCAAAGUGAGGGUUCACCGCAGGCUUCUGAGUUCCGAACAAACGAUAGGGAAGAUGGACCUAGAGCUCCAGGAUGGAGCCGCGGGUAUUUCCAUGCUCAAUACAAUAGUUCCGAAUUUAAUGGUGUAAAUUUGGAGAAUCACUUUUCGUAUGUGUGUGGUUGGUUGCAUAUAAUUUGAGGUGCAUAUGAACAAUCCGAGGUCGUAUGUGUGUGGUUGGUUGUAAUUACAAGAGUACAAAACAGGGACACAUCAUUUGAUUGUGAGCUGGAUGAAUCGGCAUGCACAUAUUGUUGAGCCCUUGGAUAAAUAAUUGAACCAUAAAUUGUGAACUAAAAAGAUAGAAUGUCUAUGUUGCAAAAUUCACGUGUGCAAAUCUGAAUGUGAUUGCUUGUAAUUAUGAGACAACAUACUGGGUAAUUUAUCUGAUGUUGUACAGAAUCACUACUUGUCAGGAAUUGAAUGAUAUGAUCACUAGAUCACAUAUUGAUGGAACAAAAUGAUGUUUUUGUUUUGUAUAUGGUUGAUUGAAUAGCGAUGGUAUCCAUGAAUAUUCCAAGACAUUUCUGAAUUUUACAUUGUUGUUUUAUAGUUUCAUUUCCGCCUGUCAGAGUAUAAUCCUUCUAUAUAGAAGGAAAAUAUUGUGAUCGUCACUAUGUUGGAGGCCAAAGACAUACCUGUUUUGCUUCAGUUUUUCACGUGAUGUGAUUAUGUAUUUGGGAUUGAGGUAUUAAAUUUUCCCGUUUACACAAAGGCACCAUUCAGACCCGAGGAAGGUUCAGAUUUCUCAUGCUCAGUUAUGUGGUCAUUGUAGAUUUUAACCCGAGGAUCUGUUUUUUCACAGCGUGUGGCAAGAGAGGUCGGUUCAUAGUUUUGUGUAUCAAUCGAGCCGCACAGCUAGGAGGAAGAGAGGUGGAGAGGAGAUGGGGCCAAACCAUCCUGUGGCAAGCAAAUGAACAAGAUGUGGUCCACGAUGAAUCUCUGGUGAAAAGGACAGUAGAUCAAUCCACACCAGCAAGGGGACAAAGAUGAGUGGUAGUACCCUCCGCUUGGGCCUGGGAGAUUUAUCCAAGUGUUUAGCAUGUGUGCUAUUUUCUGCCUUUGGAUUCCUGAAUGGAGUUUUCAUGAAUAUCCAAGUGUUGGCAAACAAUGGAGUUUUUGAGAAUCAAAUAGACAUGGAGAGGAACUGAGGCAAUUGUGAUGUUCUAGCUAUACUUUCCAGUGUUGAAGGUGUUGAUAACAGUGCAGUAUUUGUGUUAGGCAACAGGUUGGGUGGUUUACCGCCGCCUGUAAAGCGAAAGGAGAUGGAAAUGGUUUUCCACCACUUGUUGCGGCAUGAGAAAGGACUUCCUGCUUAGAAAAAAGGUGUUUUUCCGACACAACCUCUAGACCUGGGAGGUGCGGAAAUUGUGGGAUCGAGGGGCACCAUAGGAACAAUUGUAUUAAGGCUGCAAAUUUCAGGUUGGCAGGGGGUAGCUGACAGUUUGUUAACUGGUAUAGUUGCUAGUUGUGAUGAGUUUUUGUUUAGAUAUGGCUUGUGGGGGUAACGAGAUAUG